rnacentral:lncRNA from 1 species
UUAUGAGUCCUUCAUGUUACAACCAGGUUGGAUUAUUUUUGGAGUGUAAAUGUAAUUAAUUUGCUCAUAUAAAGCUUAUAUUCACUGGUUAAUGCCUGAGAUGUGUUUAGCACAGUGCCCGAUUCAUACCAAGUACUCAGCAAACUUGGGUCUUUUGAAAGUGGAAAAUGCAUUCUAAUCAGCUCUGAUGGAAACAAUGCAAUAGAAUGAGGCUCGGCGCAACCAGCGUUUAGAGCAGGAAGGGAGUUCUCUGAGUUGGUGAUGAGGCUUCCUUCUUUUUCUUGAAAACUUGGUUCUAAGCCAAGGGUAUGGUGCGCUCACCUGCAAUCCUAGAGUUCAUGGAUUCAAGGCCAGCUCUAGGCAACUUAGUGAGACCCUAUCUCAAAAUCAAAACAAAACAGCUGAUCCUAUAGUGCUGAACUGUAUCAUGGCUUUGGAUUUGAACUGCAUGAUUAUAAGGUAAGCGCUCUUAGUGAGGAGCUUACACUGUACACUUGGCAAUAGCCUUAAAGGAUAGUCAGCCUAAGUGUAUGUAGGCUACUUGGAACAAAUCAAUCAAAAUAAUUGGGAAAAUGCAAGGUUUUAUACCCAGGAAGUUAAAUCUCCCAACAAAUAAAACUGAAGGAUUUGAUCUAUAGAAAGUCACGGGUUUGUGAAUGCAUUCUUGGUAAACUUCUAAAGAAGUGUUAACUCUGGGGUAAACUGAGCUACAGUAGAGGGCAGCAAACUAACUUGCAGUCAGACUCUCACUGAUUCCUUUUGGAGGGCCCAUAAUUUAAAGAUAUGUUUAUGUGGUUUUAAAUUGGACGAAUAUUUUCAACAUAAUUAUGUGAAAUUUACAUCUCAGUGAAGUAUUGGCAUGAAGGCACAAGUUUACUUACAUACUUUUUGUGGUGCUUCUGUCUACAAAGGGAAAGUUGUCCUGUGAUGAAGACCAUUUGACUCAGAGAGGAAAAAAAGACAAUACCUGACUCUUUAUGGAGAAUGUUUGCUUAACUGUGCAAAAACAGUUGUCCUGUUUUUGUAAAUAGAGUUUUAUUGAGCCACACCCAGGCACUGGUUUACCAAACCCUUUGGUUAGUUGUUUACAGUGGCAGAAUUGAGUAGCUGCACUGGAGACUUUCUGACCCUAUAGAGACACAAAUACUUAGAGCUGAAGAGUAGAGGAGAGUGUACAAAGGUUUCUAACCCCUCCCACCGCAAUAAUAAGCCCUGACCAAAAAACAAACUAAACCAAACAAGCCAUACAACAACAAAACCCCCAAGAAUAUUAGGCCAAUGCAAUGACUCAGCAGGUAAAGGUACCUCUUGCCAAUCCUGAUGACCCGAAUUUAAUCCUUGCAAUUCAGGUGGUAGAAGGAGAGAACUAAUUCAGGAGAGUCCUCCAAACUUCACACAAGUGCUAUCACAUGCGUACCCCAAACACAUACAGUAGAUAUUUAAAAUACAGCUUAUAAAUCAAUUUAUGAAGAGAUGAAAAUAUUAAAUGAAAUAAAGUCUAUAAAAGAGAAGUAUAUGUAGAAGUAUUAUUAAAAUGUUUAUAAGUUAUCUUUCCAAAAACAGAGUCUCAUGAAAGAUAUGUGGCCAACUUCAGGAAACAAUUAGGCAAAAACAUAAAGGAUUAGUUUUUUAGAAAGAUCUGUUUAUUUGUUUAUUGAUCGAUUUAUUUCGAGGCAGGGUCUUUCUUUGUAGUCUUGGCUGUCCUGGAACUUGCUAUGUAGACUAGGCUAUCUUUGAAUUCACUGUCUCUGCCUCCCAAGUACUGUGAUUAAAGGUAUGCACCACCAGG